GAUGAACGCUGGCGGCGUGCCUAAUACAUGCAAGUCGAGCGAACAGACGAGGAGCUUGCUCCUCUGACGUUAGCGGCGGACGGGUGAGUAACACGUGGAUAACCUACCUAUAAGACUGGGAUAACUUCGGGAAACCGGAGCUAAUACCGGAUAAUAUAUUGAACCGCAUGGUUCAAUAGUGAAAGACGGUUUUGCUGUCACUUAUAGAUGAAUCCGCGCCGCAUUAGCUAGUUGGUAAGGUAACGGCUUACCAAGGCAACGAUGCGUAGCCGACCUGAGAGGGUGAUCGGCCACACUGGAACUGAGACACGGUCCAGACUCCUACGGGAGGCAGCAGUAGGGAAUCUUCCGCAAUGGGCGAAAGCCUGACGGAGCAAUACCGCGUGAGUGAUGAAGGUCUUCGGAUCGUAAAGCUCUGUUAUUAGGGAAGAACAAAUGUGUAAGUAACUAUGCACGUCUUGACGGUACCUAAUCAGAAAGCCACGGCUAACUACGUG
rnacentral:rRNA from 1 species